ACAUGGACAGGUGCAGCUCAGACAUCCCAGAGAUGGGCAUCAGAGGGGAAAUGGAAGAAAGCAGGGAAACAGCCUGUUGACGAUGAGAGGAAGACAAGACAGAGGGCAGAGAGAGGGAGUGGCCCUAUAGUUAAGAUUUGCCAGAUAAAAUACAGGACACCCAGUUACAUUUGAAUUUCAGACAAAUUCCAUGGAACAUGCUCAGACGAAAGAAUGAUGCGUUGUUUAUUGAAAUUCGAUGUAACCGGGCAUCCUGUAUUUUCAUUUGCUGAAUCUGGCAACCUGACCUAGAGUUCCUUUCUAAAAGGACACUUUUCUCAGCCGCUUGGAUUCCAAGGGUCUCACUCUAGGUUAGACCCCCAUUUAGAUUCCCUCCGGGGAGUUUUCUGGGGUCAGACUACCUGGGUUCAAAUCCUGGAUCUACCACUGCUGGCUGCGUAACCCUGGACAAAUGACUUAAUCUCUCUCUAUCCUCUGUUUUCCUCUUCUAGAAAGUGGGGUUAGGAAUAAGAGCCAACCUCAAAGGGCUGCUCCCAGCAAGGAUCAGAGGAGAAAGUAUCUGCAUAGAUUAAGCACACAGAAAGAGCUCAUUAAAGGUACUUUCUAUUCUUGGCUGUGCUUCUGGGCCUUCUGGGUCUCGGUAACUUCCGUCUCUGCCUGGAUUUGCUCCUGGCCAUUUUCUUGGAGAGUGAGACCCAUCCGGAGGGGAAUGUGGGAGAAGGAAGGAGGAGGAAGUGGGGACUGAGAAGGCCCAGGGACGUGCCUUCCUCUUCUUUCCAGGGUCCUGGCCUGGCUUGUCUGUUGGUCGGGAGCGCUUCCUUCCUGGCCUUCCUUGUGGGGCACCUCUGGGGGUGUGCUAGGAAAGGAGGGAGGAAAAUGUGUAACUUGAUAUCUGCUCCUUGACCCUGGCUGACCCGGUUAACUCACUCCAGGAUGGAAGCGAAGCCUGCCCGGGAAACCUUCCGUUGCAGGAACAUCUCGGCCUGAGGCUGUCAUGAGGGAGCCCGAUCUGCUUCCUGGACUCUGAGCAGAACAACAGGAGCCCCAGCAGCCUGGCGAGGCUGACAAGCCCUAGGACGGUGACCUCUCAGAUCUCCAGAUCGGAAACUCUCAGAAACGUGUAAGUGCCAGCAUCCGCAUUUGGGAAUCUGUUAUUUCUGCCUCUGUGAGUCAACCUGACCCACCCUGGAAACCUCACUGUCUCAGCUCUUGUUCCCGUUUUUCUUUCCAUGAACACCACAAUCAGAUACAAGGUUCCAGUAACGACGGUUCUUGAAAAUUAAACAAAUCAAACAGAAAGCCAGCCAAGGUAUGGAACGGGGACCUCUAAGUUCCCCUGGAGGAGACACCGGGGCCAGGUUCUGAGGUGGAUUCGGAGCCAGAAUCCCUAAUGGAAUUGAACAAUUAUCCUGAAGCUGCUCUCUGAAAGUUGCGGUUUUCCUCAAACAGUGUUCUUGGCGUGCCUGGGCUUCUUGGCACUGGUCCAUGGCCCUCAGCAGCAAAUCGUUCCCAGGAAGCUAUUGUUAUUUGUGCAUCUGAUAGCGUUCAGCUGAGUCCACUGACAGCAACAUUUAGAAACGAAAAGAAAAAAAGAAGCAAAAUGAAAAGGACAAAAAGGAGGCUUCCAACAUCCUGGUGGGAACAGAAAACCAGCAAAGCCUCUUUUCCAGCCCUUAUCCUUGUGAGUUUGGACUCUGCAGAACCGUCAUCCCCCAGGCAUAGCUGCAGCUUGUAUGAAGGUCAGCGUCAGGCGCGGAGAUUCCGAAGGACAGUGUGCACCUGCUUUCCUCCAACAGGGACCCCCGCUCUGCUCUUCCCAGGAAUGCCUGUAAACUACCACUGCCUCUAGGGACUGCACCAAGUCCCUGGGUACUCCCAGGACACAAUGGGGUGGAAUGGAGUGGCUCUGUUCUGUCAGGGCCUGACAUUCCAAAUGAAUUCAUUUCCUUCUGGGAAAAAAAGAACCACCUUGUUCAGAGCACAAUGUUCCUAUGUCUUGGCUUACCUUGAAGCAUUUUUGAUACACCUGUUGGGACAAUGCAUUCUGCCAAGAGAAGGGAAGUAGCAUACUUUGUUCUAUUUUUCACUCUCCAUGGCUACAUUUCCAUUGUGUUGGUUUCCCUUACAGAAAAUAACACACACAGAAGAGAAAGUUAUAGGACUCCAUGCUGCUUGGCAGGGGCACGACAUAUGUGCACAUAUUUACAUGGAACAUGAGGGUAAACUAGAAAAUUAAGGGUAAUCUAAAACAGAAAAAAAGAAGGAAAAAAAUAAAAGUAUGAAAAGGCAUCCAGAAUGAGCAAGUUACUGAGGUUGCCUCAACUUUAGCUUUGAGUUUCCUGGCAGCAAAGGUAAAAAGGGGUCGUGGGAGCUGGAAAAGACCUAAGAGAUAAUUGCAGUUCCAUUUUUCUGACAUAGUGGCUGAAGGGAGGGACAUUUAAAAUAGGAACAUGCUAUUUCUUCAGUGCUAUAGGGAGGAAACUCACUCUUGGCCUUAGUGGUAAUAAUCUUCACCCCCUGAGUCUCCACCAUGGUCUCUAACUGCUCUCUCUGUCCAGGACCGACCUUACGUUUAGCACAUCAGGAAUAGAACCCGGUCUCUCCCGCCCAGGCUGUCAUCGCUGACCAGCUCUUCCUUCAGUGGUUCCGGUCUUGGUAAGCAUCAGCUCCAGUCUACAGCUGCUCGGGGGGCCAUUCUUGACUCUUGUCUUCCUCUCUCCCUUGACACCCAAUCCAUCAGGAAAUCCCUCCAGCUCUCCCUUCCAGAUAAAUUCAGAGUCCAUUCACUUCUCACCACCUCCAGGGUAUCCGCUGGCCUAAACCAUCAUCAUCUCUCACUGAGAUGAUUGUAGUAGUGACCUCAUGCAUCACCCUGAUUCCAGCCUUCUUCUCUAUCAACCUAGUAGCUAACGUCAUCCUUCAGCCCCUGACCCACUGAUCUUUUUCAGUCUUAUCCGGAGUAAAACCCAGAGGUCAUUCUCAUGGUCUAUGCAGCCUGUGCCAGCUGGGCUCCUAACUCGUCUCUGAGUCUUUAUCAUCACUUCUGCCCACCCCCAUCUCACCCCUUCACUCUGCUCCAGCUACCCGCUUGCCAUCUCUCAAGUACAUCAAGUCCACUCCUGCCUCUGGCCUGUUGUACUUGCUGUGCCCUCUGCGUGGGAUGUUCUUUCCCCACAUGGCUGCAUGGCUUACUCCCAGCUCCCUCCCUGUCCUUCCUUGAGAGCCACAUUAUAUAACCAUGCUGCACGCUCCGUCUCCCCCUGCUCCUUACUCUGCUUUAUUUCUCUUUAGAGAACUUAUCACCACUUGACAUAUUACCAGUUCACAAAGUGCAGACAGACUUAGCUGUGUCUCUUGGGCCUAGAACACUGUCUGGCAUGUAGUCGAUGUUAAAAAAAAACUGUGAAAUUAAUAAAUAAAACGUUACGUCCUGGGUAUUCCAUUCCCAGGGAUAUCUGUAUUCUGGGACUGAUUCUGUGUGGUUGGACUAGGACUGCAUUUUCUAGCAAUGAUCAAUAUACUUCUAACCCUUAAUGGUUUUCCUCAUUAAUGUUCCAAUAGAGUGAUUGGAGAAAUUGUAUCUAAGUGAUCCCUCCAAUCCCUCCAAUCACUCUAUGGGAACGUUAAUGAGGAAAGCCAGCCAGGCUUGGAAGCCUUUGGCAUUUUUGAGAAAAGUCAGCAAGCAAUGUAGGAAAAUGAUCAGAAGCAUAUUUCUGUCCUAUCUCAAAAUAUCCCCACAAGGGUUCUGAUUGGGAAGAAAAGGGAUUGCCCAUGAACCCAAAGGUGUUAAUUGUGUAGUAGGAUUUUAGGAAGUUUUUCAUGAUCCAGUUCACCAAGAAGAGCUAGCAUCUUGAAAUAAGUCACUGUUGGCCGGGCGCGGUGGCUCAAGCCUGUAAUCCCAGCACUUUGGGAGGCCGAGACGGGCGGAUCAUGAGGU